CCUGCCAUGUGUUCAGGCAAUAAAUGGGCUGAGAGAGAGGUGCUUCUAGCAUUCUCCUGAGUAGAAGUAUCCCAGCAAAGACAAUAGCAGGCAAAAUAAGGACUGGCAAAGAGAAGCAACUCAGCUUGUCAGGAUUUCUCGAGUGUGUCCGCAAUGCUGCUCCGCUCAGGCCGCAAAAAGCUGUAUGAAGUGUCUCUCCGUAGAAGGCAGCUUGUUAAGAAGCAAUCUCGGCCAAGAACUGUAAAAACAGCUUCUGGAAAGUCAGUGUUUAGUCUGCGAGAAACACUGAAAUGCUAUAUACUCACUGAAGAUUCAAAAACAGUGCAUUUUGACAUAGAUGAAGAUGGUCAUCAUGAAAUUUCAACCAAGGAUUCACAGUCCCAUGAAGAUAUUGCAUGGUUAAGCGUGUUCACAAGGAAUGAACCAGCAGUAACUGAUUCUAAAAAUUUCGUGAUCCUCACACAGAGAUCAAAGUUUAACGAAUUUGUCCUAUUGUGCAAGGGUAAGAAGCAGCUCUCUCUGAAGGUCUUAAAAGCAUCCUGUUCAGGGCCAGAUUAUCCUUCAGUGGAAAGAUGCAACAUGAAAACAUGCAACCAUGAAGAUCCUGACUUCAAACAGCUGAGUGAAGAUAAUCACUUUUUCAUCAUGCACUACCAAGGGGAUUCAGUGCAGUUCCAAUGCUAUGAAGAUAAAAGUUACUACCUGUAUGUGAAUGACGACUCACUUGAUAUUCGCAAGCCGGAAAACAAAGAACCCAGCGAGGACAAAAAUUUUUACUUCAGGGUGUCAUAUUUACAGGAAAAGUAACUUGUCUGCCUUUCAGUGGCCUAAGUGUCCAUACAACUUCUGUAAUAACCUAACAGAAGAGAAGGAAGGUUGAGAUAAACUAAUUUCCAUUUUGGCUUAAUUUUUACUUUUUUUGUAAUUUCUUGAGUCACCAUUUUGCAUCAGUAACAUCCUUUAUUUCUGUACUUUCAAUAGGAAAAGAGAAAGCCUAAGUUUGAAAAGCAUACUAACUGAUCAGUCUCUUUGUGUCUUACCUGCACAAUUACGAUUUUAAGGAGCUGAAUUCUUCUGGAAGGGGAAAAAUACACGGGGGAUAUUUUGAAGACAGGGGAAAAAGAAGGAAGCAUACAUGGAUAUGAAAUAGAAAGCACAGUUAGUUCUCUGCAUGGUUAUUCUACAGUUGUACAGGGAGCUGCAAAUAAGAUAGACUAAUGGAAAUGGUGCCCUGGGGUGUGUUUGUGAGAUAACAGGUAUGUGCUCUUACACACAAGAAAUUAAAUCUAUUGCCUGUUGUUUGAAGCUUUAGCUCCUCACCAGACAUAAUGUUAACUAAGUGGCAUAUCAGAUUACCUUUUUUACCUGUAUGAGAAGAAAUGCAGGGGAAAAAAAUUUAAAUAUAGCUAUGCAUGCAUGUGGGGUACUUACAUUUUGGCUAAUUAGAAAUUCAGGUGUUCAUUAUUCGCUGCAGCUUUAAUACAGAAUUUGCAGGAUCUCUCAAUCUGGUUUCAAGUUCAUUUUUUUGACAGCUUAGAAAGAAAGUAGUUAAUUAGUAAUUAAUUAUGAGUUUGCUUUGUUUUUAGUCUGAGCUUCUCUAUAUAAAGUCUUAUUUAGAAAUAGAGGAUAUAUAAUUCAAAAUACAGUUUUAGAAGACCCAUACAUUCUGACCUUUAGCUGCUUUCUUUACUGGCAGCUCCACAUUUUCUGUCUGAAAUUAACAUUUUCUUUGUAAUUAUGUAACUCUCUUGAAUAAGGCCAUACUAAAUACUAGACUAUUAGUCAUGGUAAUACAUUAUAUUAAAACUAGUAUUAACCACUACCAUAUGUUGACUGCUAACACUAUGAACAAAUAUGUUCUGUAUUUACAAACUUAGGCAAUCUUUGCUGACAAUUAAGCUUCACUCUUACGAUAAGCUUUAAAACUAUUUUAUGGGUUUGUCUCAAGAGUAGAGGAAUUAAGUUUACCAUGACACACUGACGUGCCUUUGCUAUAAGUCUUUUUUCCGAAACCAUGAUACUGAGAUAAUAACAACUAGCCAUGCUUUUAAAGACCAUCUGACAAAGUACCUCGAGGCAUUUCAAUAUCUAAACAGUACUCAUUCUUUCCAAUUAUCUGUCAUUUAAAUGAGUCUAAUAAUUAACAGAGGUAAUUGCUCAAUGUUUUUUGAAACUGGAGUUUAUAAAGUGUAAUCUGGAUGCAGCACAAAACCCAGUUCUUGCAGUAGAUGAAAAUGAGAACUUCAAGAUUUGUUCCUGAUGAUCAGAUGGAUCUCAAGAUCAGCCAUGAAUUAGACAAAAAUUGAUGAUGUGCAUCACAAGUGACGAGUAACAUGUUUGAGUUCACUCUGCUUUGAGCAGCAGAGCUGACUACAUGAUUUCUGGAGGUAUCUUCCAACCUCAGCUACUCUACAAUAACUGCUGGUGAUUCUAUUCUGUAAAAGGAAUUUAUUGAGGGAAAAAAUUGCUCCUGGGAGGAACAUCAGUAACAUGGAAAUGGGAUAAAAAUACUUUGGGUGAAAAUAAAGCAUUUGUUUGUAUGAAAUUUUCUGUUCAGAAGGACACUGAGCUAAACCCUCAAAUAUGAACCCUAAGUAAUCUCUUUGUUGGUAGAUUAUAUUACUGUAAGAGUUCUACAAUGUCUUCUUAAUUCUGUGUCCAGUGUUUUCAGUACUGCAUUAUCUACUUUUUUAGAGGUAACUGAAAAAUUCAUUCUGACAACAGUAGCUGUACCAUCUGUACUAAAACUACAAAUUUAUCUCCCUAACUCUCAUUGUAUUCAUAUACCUUCACAAGGUAUUACUGGAUAUGUAUCAUGCUCCAAAUGUACUGACUGGGUGGAAACUCAUUGUGUUUUUUCCACUUAUUCCACAUCUUGGAACUGUAAAUAAGCAAAAUGGUUGAAGUUGUGGUACUGUAAACAGGGACACAGUCUGCAUUGGUAUAGCCUGCAAUAACACUUCACAAUCCCAUAGUGCUUUAUGAGUCAAAAUUUUGUAAAAUAUUAACAUGCAAUAAAGGUGAAUACAAAUUUUAUUGUGUAUAUUUUAAAUAGAGGAAACUAGAGACAGAAAAAUGACCUAGCCAAGACAAGGCAACAGCAAAUGGCAAAGCGAGAAUUCUAACUCAUGAUUCCCAGUCCUACACACAUUCCUCUGGUAUUGUUCUAGUGCAGAAUUGCAGCUUUGUGGUAUGUCUGACCUCCACACACAUUCUCACAGCUAAAUAAUAAGAUUCUAAUAGAUUUUCUGUAACUAUCAGAGUAUGAACAUUUUAGAAUAUGGAAUUCAAAGCAAAAGAAAGUGUCUUGCAAAUGUAUCAAUCAGGAUUGAUUUUGACCUUUUAGUAUUGAAUUGCUUUUUUCAAAACUGAAAUGAAAGUGAUUUCACAUGGUUUUUAUUCUAAGGAAAUGUAACUGGUUACUGACAGGAAGCUAGAAAGCACUUCAACCUGAAUAUUUUUUGGAACUUAGUUUUAACAGAUGAGAUGAUCUACAAUGUUUAGGUGUACGUGUACUAUAUAAAUCUCAAUAAAUUUAACAAGUUUUAACUGUG